rnacentral:sRNA from 1 species
UAGAGGCGGUGGAGACAGAAACGGAGCCCAGGCGGCGGAGGCGGAAGGCGGGAGGGAAACCAGCCA